CGGUUAGCAACUACUGUAGUAGCUCUGUAAUGCUUGAUCUUGGCUGAAGGUAGAAGAUGAAGAUUUGUUCCUUUUUACUAGUAAUUGCUUGAAGAACAUGAUGACUUUCCUGAUUGUCUAGAGUCGUCUUGCUGAAAACUUAUGAGAUUGUCGUAGCUGGUUGCAUCCUCGCAAGGAAUACUUUUAAAAUAGAAAUUGUUCCUUGCUGCACAUUCAUUGUGUCGCUGUUUGUCUUGUGUUCACGAUGUUAAUGGGGGCCAAACUAAAUAUAUUUUUAAUAUAGUUUACAUAUGAAUGUAUAUAGAUGAAUUGUAG
rnacentral:lncRNA from 1 species